GGAAGGCCUCGUGUUGCAACC
rnacentral:rRNA from 1 species